rnacentral:rRNA from 1 species
ACGGAGGAUGCGAGCGUUAUCCGGAUUUAUUGGGUUUAAAGGGUGCGUAGGUGGACUGUUUAGUCAGUGGUGAAAUGCUGAUGCUCAACGUUAGCAUUGCCGUUGAAACUGACAGUCUUGAGAGUGAUUGAGGCAGGCGGAAUGUGUGGUGUAGGGGUAAAAUGAAAAAAUAUCACGGAGAACUAAAGUGGCGAGGGCAGUUCACAAAGCCACAACUGACACUGAAGCACGAAAGCGUGGGGAUCAAACAG